UACGAAGGGGGCUAGCGUUGUUCGGAAUCACUGGGCGUAAAGCGCACGUAGGCGGAUCUUUAAGUCAGAGGUGAAAUCCCAAGGCUCAACCUUGGAACUGCCUUUGGUACUGGGGAUCUCGAGUCCGGGAGAGGUGAGCGGAACUGCGAGUGUAGAGGUGAAAUUCGUAGAUAUUCGCAAGAACACCAGUGGCGAAGGCGGCUCACUGGCCCGGUACUGACGCUGAGGUGCGAAAGCGUGGGGAGCAAACAGG
rnacentral:rRNA from 1 species